GACGAACGCUGGCGGCGUGCUUAACACAUGCAAGUCGAGCGGUAAGGCCCUUUCGGGGGUACACGAGCGGCGAACGGGUGAGUAACACGUGGGUGACCUGCCCUCAGCUCUGGGAUAAGCCUGGGAAACCGGGUCUAAUACCGGAUAUGACUCCAUGACGCAUGUUGUGGGGUGGAAAGCCUUGUGCGGCUGAGGAUGGGCCCGCGGCCUAUCAGCUUGUUGGUGGGGUGAUGGCCUACCAAGGCGACGACGGGUAGCCGGCCUGAGAGGGCGACCGGCCACACUGGGACUGAGACACGGCUCAGACUCCUACGGGAGGCAGCAGUGGGGAAUCUUGCGCAAUGGGCGAAAGCCUGACGCAGCGACGCCGCGUGAGGGAUGACGGCCU
rnacentral:rRNA from 1 species